rnacentral:misc_RNA from 1 species
GGUAAUGCUAUCCACAAAUGAAGAGAAGGCAAAGUCAGCAAAGAAGUCUCCGGAACGUGAAGUUAAGGCUCACAAGAAUGGCUCUAAAAGCAAUGACCCCUCAGAAGGCCUCGUUAAUGAAAUAAAGGGAUAUCUGAAAAUGGGUUCUCCUGUGAGCAAGCUGAAAUCCUUCUUGAGUUCACUUUCCGGGACACCUCAAGGAGUUAUUAAUGCUCUGUUUGCUGCUCUCUUUGGGGGUGUUGAGAAAGGGUUUGCCAAGGAGGUGUCUAAAAAGAAGAACUACCUGGCAGCAGUAACUCAAGAGGAGGGAUCACAGAU